rnacentral:rRNA from 1 species
ACAUAGCCUUUAGCAAUAAAAGUAUUAAAGGUGAUGCCUGCCCAGUGAAAUUUUAAACGGCCGCGGGACCAUAUACCGUGCAAAGGUAGCAUAAUCACUUGUCCCCUAAAUAGUGACUAGUAUGAAUGGCCAAAUGAAGAUACACCUGUCUCUUACAGCUGAUCUAUGAAACUGAUCUUUUAGUUCAAAAACUAAAAUUUCCUCACAAGACGAAAAGACCCUGUGGAACUUAAAAUAAGAACUAUUUUAUAGUCUACUUACUUUUAGUUGGGGCAACUUUGGAAAUAAACAAAACUUCCAACCCAUUAUCAAGAUGAACACACCUAAAUACUAAACCCACCAGACCCAGUAUUACUGACAAAAGAAACAAGCUACCCCAGGGAUAACAGCGCCAUCCUCUCCUAGAGCCCCAAUCGACGAGAGGGUUUACGACCUCGAUGUUGGAUCAGGACACCCAAACAGUGCAACAGCUGUUAACGGUUUGUUUGUUCAACAAUUAAUGUCCUACGUGAUCUGAGUUAAGACCGGAGCAAUCCAGGUC